UUAGGGUAGUAUAUAAAUCAUACAUUUUGCUUACACCAAAAAACAGGCUUGUGGCCCCCUAAA
rnacentral:tRNA from 1 species